rnacentral:rRNA from 1 species
GACGAACGCUGGCGGCGUGCUUAACACAUGCAAGUCGAACGGAAAGGCCCUGCUUUUGUGGGGUGCUCGAGUGGCGAACGGGCGAGUAACACGUGAGUAACCUGCCCUUGACUUUGGGAUAACUUCAGGAAACUGGGGCUAAUACCGGAUAGGAGCUCCUGCUGCAUGGUGGGGGUUGGAAAGUUUCGGCGGUUGGGGAUGGACUCGCGGCUUAUCAGCUUGUUGGUGGGGUAGUGGCUUACCAAGGCUUUGACGGGUAGCCGGCCUGGGAGGGUGACCGGCCACAUUGGGACUGAGAUACGGCCCAGACUCCUACGGGAGGCAGCAGUGGAGAAUAUUGCGCAAUGGGCGGAAGCCUGAUGCAGCGACGCCGCGUGCGGGAUGACGGCCUUCGGGUUGUAAACCGCUUUCGCCUGUGACGAAGCGUGAGUGACGGUAAUGGGUAAAGAAGCACCGGCUAACUACGUG